rnacentral:misc_RNA from 1 species
GAUGAAGAACGUAGCGAAAUGCGAUACUUGGUGUGAAUUGCAGAAUCCCGUGAACCAUCGAGUCUUUGAACGCAAGUUGCGCCCGAAGCCAUUAGGCCGAGGGCACGCCUGCCUGGGCGUCACACGUCGUUGCCCCCCCAUCUACUCCUUCGGGAUUGCGGGGGGCGGAUGAUGGCCUCCCGUGCGCCUCGUCGCGCGGUUGGCAUAAAUGCCAAGUCCUCGGCGACACACGCCACGACAAUCGGUGGUUGCGAAACCUCGGUUGCCCGUCGUGUGCGGUCGUCGCGCAUCGAGGGCUCGAAAAAAUUGCCGGGCUCCGGCUCGGCUUUCAACGCGACCCCAGGUUAGGCGGGGUUACCCGCUGAAUUUAAGCAUAUCAAUAAGCGGAGGA